CCAGGAUACAUUUGCAUGUAAUUACUUUUUGUUUAUUUGGAAAAAGUUACAAAGAGACCCAUCAUUUAGGCCACAUAAUGCCUGGUGCUACAUAAAUGAAGGCCUGAUAUCUUCUGUAUCACUCUUUAGAAUGAAUCAGAAGUAAGGUCUUCUGUCUAAAUGAAUUGUGUAUUUUUUCUUUUUUUUUCCUUUCUUUUUUUUUCCAUAGAGAUUUGAGUUCACUAUUCUGAGAACAGGGAUCAUCUCUAUCCUAAAUUCUAGCACCAACCAAUUAUGAGGCAGUGUGCUCUUAAAUGUUUAACAACCAGCUCUCCAGAAAAGAAUGUAUGCGGGACACACUUUCAACUUUAAUCUGCAUUGUUAACAUUUUUUCUAUCACUUUAAGAUUAGAUAAUCAAAACAAAACAAUAAAGUCCUGAUUUGUCCCAUUUGUCCAUUCCCAAGGUGUAAAUGCUCCUAUUGAAAAUUUAACAAUCAGCUCUUCCAAACUACUGCAAGCUGCCUCCAGCACACAUUUGAAAACCAUGUCUUAAAAGGGAAAUAGGGUCUCUGAAUUGUAAGUUUCUAUAAGGCAGUAACCAAAUCAUUAUUUUUUAGAAGGAGAGAGUAACAUUGCAGGAUACCUGAUGAAUUACUUUGCAUAUGGUGGGCACUCCUGAAAUUCUGUGGAUUUUCUAAAAAACAAUCACCUAGGAUCAAUGAAUGGCUUUAGAGCCAGGGGGUCUUUCUUUCUUUCUUUCUUUCUUUCUUUCUUUCUUUCUUUCUUUCUUUCUUUCUUUCUUUCUUUCUUUCUUUCUUUCUCUCUUUCUCUCUUUCUCUCUUUCUCUCUUUCUCUUUCUCUCUUUCUUCCUUUCUUUUUCUCUCUUUCUCUCUUUCUCUCUUUCUCUUUCUCUCUUUCUCUUUUUCUCUUUCUCUCUCUCUUUCUCUCUCUCUCUUUCUUUCUCUCUCUUUCUUUCUCUCUUUCUUUCUCUCUCUCUUUCUUUCUUUCUUUCUCUCUCUCUUUCUUUCUCUCUUUCUUUCUCUCUCUCUUUCUUUCUCUCUUUCUUUCUCUUUCUUUCUUUCUCUCUUUCUUUCUUUCUCUCUUUCUUUCUCUCUCUCUCUUUCUUUCUUUCUUUCUUUCUUUCUUUCUUUCUCUCUUUCUUUCUUUCUCUCUUUCUCUCUCUCUUUCUUUCUUUCUUUCUUUCUUUCUUUCUUUCUUUCUUUCUUUCUUUCUUUCUUUCUUUCUUUCUUUCUUUCUUUCUUUCUUUCUUUCUUUCUUUCUUUCUUUCUUUCUUUCUUUCUUUCUUUCUUUCUUUCCUCCCUUCUCUCUUUCUUUAUUAAUUCUUUAUUAUU
rnacentral:lncRNA from 1 species